UAUACCUGCAACCAUGAGGAUGUCUCUGUAGAGGAUCUACUCAGCUCUCUCACUGUCUUGUCUCUCAGUUGGUUUAUCUAGUCUGUGUCAGGAUGUCACUCAUCUUACUGUUGCUCCUCUCAGCGUUUGUAGCUGAUAGUAUGGAGCAGGAAACAAUAACUCCAGUGAAGCCUGAAGUCAAUGCUCUCCAAGGAACAGACAUCACUCUCUCCUGCAACUACAAAGGCAAAGUUAAUAAUCUACAAUGGUACCGUCAAUACCCCGGAUCCAGACCAGAGUGUCUUCUUUGGAUCCUACCAACCAACAAGAAUGUACAGAAUACAUCCAUUACGACUCCACGACACACUGGUGGACUGAAUGAAGAGAAGACCCGUGUUGACUUGAUGAUCUCCUCUGUUGAAUUGGAAGACUCUGCUCUGUACCACUGUGCCUUGCAGCCCACAGUGACAGGAAACCAGACUCACUGUACAAAAACUUGACAACAUACAGUGUACUGUAGAAAGAAAGCCAUAACAGAAAACAUUUCAUGAUGGUGUCAAGAGGAGGGGCUGUAUAAUCAAAGAUCCACAUGUAGCUUAUGGGAUGUUAUUGUUCAGGACGUAGCUAGUUAGUCAGGUCUCUCAGUGCUGUCUGUCGGUUUCUCAAAGGUCUAGCAUGAUGUUUUUCUUCUCAUUUGUUCUCUUUUCAGCUUUCUUAUGUGAGUUAUUAUUCGUAUUUAAAUAUUUAAAUUUAAUCUUACAGUGAAUGAACAGCACAAAAACAUUUGAAUUGCACAUGUGUAAUGUUUAAAUGUUAGUUACAACUGCACAGUUGUACAGUUAUAGAAGUUAUUUGACCAAAUAUUUUUUCAGGAAACAGUUUUGCGGAUUCAAUAAACCCUGCGACUACAGAAGAGCUUGUUCAGGAGGGAAGGAAUGUCUAUCUCUCCUGCAAAUAUGAUGGUACUGUUUACAAUCUACAGAUCCAAAUCAUAAUUCCUCUUGACCAUCACACCAGAGGGGUCUAUAUUUAAAGCUACUCCCCCACCU